rnacentral:rRNA from 1 species
AGCCCUGUAAUUGUUUAAAGUUUAAAAUUAUUUUUGUUUAAGUAAAUUGAUGCAAGUCGCGCAUUGAUUAAAUAAUGGGGGCCCACCCUCAAGUCUAAAAAGUUUUAAUGAUUGAUAGCGUAUAGUACCGUGAGGGAAAGGUGAAAUAGAAUUUAUUAAUUUAAAUCUUAAAAAUACUGAAAUUUAAUGUUGACAAGCAAUUGAAGCUUUUAAAAAGUAACAAUGUACCUUUUGCAUAAUGGAUCAACGAGUUUAUUUUAGUGGCGAGCUUAAACAGUGAAUUAAUGUGUAGGCGAAAAGAAAUUAAGUUUUAAAAGGCUUUUAAGUCUCUAAAAUAAGACCCGAAACUAAAUGAUCUAACCAUGAUCAGGCUGAAUUUAUAGCGGUAACGCUUAUUGGAGGGCUGAACCCUUACAUGUGGAAAAAUGUUGGGAUGAAUUGUGGUUAGGGGUGAAAGGCCAAUCAAAUUUAGAGAUAGCUGGUUUUCUGCGAAAUCUAUUUAAGUAGAGCGUUUAAAAACUUUAUUUUGGGGUAGAGCACUCGAUAAAUGAUGGGAGCGUAAAGUUUUACUGAAUUUAAUGAAACUACGAAUACAAAGUAAAAGAUAUUAAACAGACAGACUUUGAGUGCUAAGAUUCAUAGUCAAGAGGGAAACAGCCCAGAUUAUUAGUUAAGGCCCCUAAAUGAUUACUAAGUGGUAAAGGAGGUGGGAUUGCUAAGACAAUCAGGAGGUUUGCCCAGAAGCAGCAAUCCUUUAAAGAGUGCGUAAUAGCUCACUAGUCAAGCGACUCGGCGUCGAUAAUAAUCGGGCAUAAGUCCGGUGCCGAAGCUGUGGGAAUGAAAAUUCGGUAGGGGAGCAUUCCAGCCUGCGUAGAAGGUGCCACCGUGAGGGGUGCUGGAGCGGCUGGAAGCGAAACUGUAGGCAU